GGUUAAUGCUAGCGGUGCGCCUAACACAUGCAAGUCGAGCGGGAUUUGAUUAUAGCUUGCUACAAUUAAUGAGAGCGGCGAACGGGUGAGUAAUAUGUUGGUACAUGCCUCUAAGUCGGGGAUAGCCCACUGAAAAGUGGAAUAAUAUCGGAUGGUCUCGAGAGAGUAAAGAUUUAUCGCUUAGAGAGUGGCCUGCAUUCUAUCAGCUAGUUGGUGAGGUAAAAGCUCACCAAGGCAAUGACGGAUAAUUGAUCUGAGAGGAUGAUCAGUCACACUGGAACUGAGACACGGUCCAGACUCCUACGGGAGGCAGCAGUGGGGAAUAUUGCACAAUGGACGAAAGUCUGAUGCAGCAACGCCGCGUGGAGGAUGACACAUUUCGGUGCGUAAACUCCUUUUAUAUAGGAAGAUAAUGACGGUACUAUAUGAAUAAGCACCGGCUAACUCCGUGCCAGCCGCCGCCGUAA
rnacentral:rRNA from 1 species